rnacentral:rRNA from 1 species
GUUCGGUCCCUAUCUGGCGUGGGUGUCGGAGUAUUGAGAGGAUCUGUCCCUAGUACGAGAGGACCGGGAUGGACGUACCUCUGGUGGACCUGUUGUGGCGCCAGCCGCAGUGCAGGGUAGCUAUGUACGGAACGGAUAACCGCUGAAGGCAUCUAAGCGGGAAACCAGCCUCAAAACGAGUACUCCCUCGAGAGCCGUGGAAGACCACCACGUUGAUAGGCCGGGUGUGCAAGUGC